ensembl:misc_RNA Metazoa_SRP Metazoan signal recognition particle RNA
GCUGGGCGUGGUGGCUCACGCCUGUAAUCCCAGCACUUUGGGAGGCUGAGGCAGGCGGAUCACCUGAGGUCAGGAGUUCGAGACCAGCCUGAUCAACAAGGAGAAUCCCUGUCUCUA